rnacentral:lncRNA from 1 species
AUGAGUGUAUUGUACCUGGGUCUCAUCUGUAGAAUGAGAGUACUGUACCUGGGUCUCAUCUGUAGAAUGAGAGUACUGUACCUGGGUCUCACCUGUAGAAUGAGAGUACUGUACCUGGGUCUCACCUGUAGAAUGAGAGUACUGUACCUGGGUCUCACCUGUAGAAUGAGAGUACUGUACCUGGGUCUCAUCUGUAGAAUGAGAGUACUGUACCUGGGUCUCACCUGUAGAAUGAGAGUACUGUACCUGGGUCUCAUCUGUAGAAUGAGAGUACUGUACCUGGGUCUCAUCUGUAGAAUGAGAGUAUUGUACCUGGGUCUCAUCUGUAGAAUGAGAGUACUGUACCUGGGUCUCACCUGUAGAAUGAGAGUACUGUACCUGGGUCUCACCUGUAGAAUGAGAGUACUGUACCUGGGUCUCACCUGUAGAAUGGGAGUACUGUACCUGGGUCUCACCUGUAGAAUGAGAGUACUGUACCUGGGUCUCACCUGUAGAAUGAGAGUACUGUACCUGGGUCUCACCUGUAGAAUGGGAGUACUGUACCUGGGUCUCAUCUGUAGAAUGAGAGUACUGUACCUGGGUCUCACCUGUAGAAUGAGAGUACUGUACCUGGGUCUCAUCUGUAGAAUGAGAGUACUGUACCUGGGUCUCACCUGUAGAAUGAGAGUACUGUACCUGGGUCUCAUCUGUAGAAUGAGAGUACUGUACCUGGGUCUCAUCUGUAGAAUGAGAGUACUGUACCUGGGUCUCACCUGUAGAAUGAGAGUACUGUACCUGGGUCUCACCUGUAGAAUGAGAGUACUGUACCUGGGUCUCACCUGUAGAAUGAGAGUACUGUACCUGGGUCUCAUCUGUAGAAUGAGAGUACUGUACCUGGGUCUCACCUGUAGAAUGAGAGUACUGUACCUGGGUCUCACCUGUAGAAUGAGAGUACUGUACCUGGGUCUCAUCUGUAGAAUGAGAGUACUGUACCUGGGUCUCAUCUGUAGAAUGAGAGUACUGUACCUGGGUCUCAUCUGUAGAAUGGGAGUACUGUACCUGGGUCUCACCUGUAGAAUGAGAGUACUGUACCUGGGUCUCACCUGUAGAAUGAGAGUACUGUACCUGGGUCUCACCUGUAGAAUGAGAGUACUGUACCUGGGUCUCACCUGUAGAAUGGGAGUACUGUACCUGGGUCUCAUCUGUAGAAUGGGAGUACUGUACCUGGGUCUCAUCUGUAGAAUGAGAGUACUGUACCUGGGUCUCACCUGUAGAAUGAGAGUACUGUACCUGGGUCUCACCUGUAGAAUGAGAGUACUGUACCUGGGUCUCACCUGUAGAAUGAGAGUACUGUACCUGGGUCUCACCUGUAGAAUGAGAGUAUUGUACCUGGGUCUCACCUGUAGAAUGAGAGUACUGUACCUGGGUCUCAUCUGUAGAAUGAGAGUACUGUACCUGGGUCUCACCUGUAGAAUGAGAGUACUGUACCUGGGUCUCAUCUGUAGAAUGGGAGUACUGUACCUGGGUCUCAUCUGUAGAAUGGGAGUACUGUACCUGGGUCUCACCUGUAGAAUGAGAGUACUGUACCUGGGUCUCACCUGUAGAAUGAGAGUACUGUACCUGGGUCUCAUCUGUAGAAUGAGAGUACUGUACCUGGGUCUCAUCUGUAGAAUGAGAGUACUGUACCUGGGUCUCACCUGUAGAAUGAGAGUACUGUACCUGGGUCUCACCUGUAGAAUGAGAGUACUGUACCUGGGUCUCAUCUGUAGAAUGGGAGUACUGUACCUGGGUCUCACCUGUAGAAUGAGAGUACUGUACCUGGGUCUCAUCUGUAGAAUGAGAGUACUGUACCUGGGUCUCACCUGUAGAAUGAGAGUACUGUACCUGGGUCUCACCUGUAGAAUGAGAGUACUGUACCUGGGUCUCAUCUGUAGAAUGAGAGUACUGUACCUGGGUCUCACCUCUAGAAUGAGUGUAUUGUACCUGGGUCUCACCUGUAGAAUGAGAGUACUGUACCUGGGUCUCACCUGUAGAAUGAGAGUACUGUACCUGGGUCUCACCUGUAGAAUGAGAGUACUGUACCUGGGUCUCAUCUGUAGAAUGAGAGUACUGUACCUGGGUGAUGGGUCUGACUUGAUGGGUCUGACUUGA